rnacentral:rRNA from 1 species
GCGUUAAUCGGAAUUACUGGGCGUAAAGCGUGCGUAGACGGUUACAUAAGUCGGGUGUGAAAGCCCCGGGCUCAACCUGGGAAUUGCAUUCGAGACUGCGUAGCUAGGGUACGGAAGAGGGAGGCGGAAUUUCAGGUGUAGCGGUGAAAUGCGUAGAUAUCUGAAGGAACACCAGUGGCGAAAGCGGCCUCCUGGUCCAGUACCGACGUUCAGGCACGAAAGCGUG